rnacentral:rRNA from 1 species
UGUCGGAGGGUACCACCUUCGGUGCCGCAGCAAACGCAAUAAGUAUUCCGCCUGGGGAGUACGGUCGCAAGAUUAAAACUCAAAGGAAUUGACGGGGACCCGCACAAGCAGCGGAGCAUGUGGUUUAAUUCGAAGCAACGCGAAGAACCUUACCUAGACUUGACAUCUCCUGAAUUACUCGUAAUGGAGGAAGCCCUUCGGGGCAGGAAGACAGGUGGUGCAUGGUUGUCGUCAGCUCGUGUCGUGAGAUGUUGGGUUAAGUCCCGCAACGAGCGCAACCCUUGUUGUUAGUUGCUACCAUUAAGUUGAGCACUCUAACGAGACUGCCGCGGUUAACGCGGAGGAAGGUGGGGAUGACGUCAAAUCAUCAUGCCCCUUAUGUCUAGGGCUACACACGUGCUACAAUGGCCGGUACAGAAAGAUGCAAACCCGUGAGGGGGAGCUAAACUCAAAAGCCGGUCCCAGUUCGNAUUGUAGGCUGAAACUCGCCUACAUGAAGUUGGAGUUGCUAGUAUCGCAAU